ACGGCGCACGGGUGAGUAACACGUGGGUAAUCUGCCCUAGACCGGGGAAUAAUUACCGGGAAACCGGUGCUAAUACCGCAUACGAUCGCGAUGUCUGGGGAUGUUGUGAUGAACGGAGCAAUUCGCUCUUGGAGGAGCCCGCGGCCGAUUAGCUAGUUGGUGAGGUACUGGCUCACCAAGGCAACGAUCAGUAGCCGGUCUG
rnacentral:rRNA from 1 species